GACAGAGAGAAAUGGAGAGCAGAGGGGAGAGAAAGAUAGACACCUGCAGACCUGCUACACUACCUGAGAAGCGACUCCCCUGGCAGAGAGAGAAACCAGAGCCGUGCUGUACAGAUUGAACCUAGGGCCUCGUUUGUGCAAGUCCUGUGCUCCACCACUGAGCUGGCUCUAGAAGGAGCAUACAGAAUCCAUUUACAUUUACAUGAUCCUUUGCAGAGCAAACAGAACAACAAAACAUCAUGCAGAGGGGGGAGAAGAACAAUAAACACCAAACUGCAGAUGGUGCAAUGAUUCAUUCCAUCCUGACUUCUCUGGGCCGAUGACCUCACCAGUGUGUCCUGGAACCUCACCUCUCCAGAGCUCUACCCCACUAGGGAAAGACAGAAGCAGGCUGGGGAUUGACCUGCCAAUGCCCAUGUCUAGUGGAAAAGCAAUUAUAGAAGCCAGAGCUCCUACCUUCUGCCACCCCCAAAACAAUCUUAAUUCAUACUCCCAGUGGGGGAGAAGUGAUAGGUGGAAGAGGAUAGAGGGCUCUGAACUCCAGCUCAUCAACAUCCUGAGGGAAGGAAAAAGAGAGGCACAUUUGGAUGUAGCAAUAUUGUCAAGAGUGGCUUGGAGGGGAAGAGAGGACUGGACCUGGAAGAAAAAGGGGGCAAUUAUGAACAAAGGUAGGCAGAUAGUUGUAGAGAUGAUGGUUGCCCCCUAUCUGCAGCCUUACAAGAAAGGUGGUAGUUGGCAGUGGGGAGAUUGAGGAUUUAGAACCCUGUGGGAAUGGUGUGGAACUAUACCCCUGUUGACAUGUAAUCUUGUAAAUCAGUAUUAAAUCACAAAUAAAAUAGUCUCAACAGGGGUAGGUGGUAGCACACCGGGUUAAACACACAUAGGACAGAGCACAAGGACUCCAAAGUAUCCUGGCUCCUCCACCCCCAGGGGAGGUGGGGGGGUCGCUUCACAAGCGGUGAAGCAGGUCUGCAGGUGUCUAUCUUUUUCUCCCCAUCCCUGUCUUCCCUUCCUCUUUCAACUUCUCUCUGCCUUAUUCUAUUUAAAAAAAAAAAAAAAAAAAAAAAGGCCUCCAGGAGCAGUGGAUUCAUAGUGCCUGGACCAAGUCCCAGCGAUAACCCUGGAGGAAAAGUAAAUAAAUAGUCUCAACUAAAUCAACACUACCAGUGCCACCACGCCAGCUUAUGCUGCUACCACCUUUUUGCUGCAGAUGGUCUCCAGAG